CUCUAGUGCUGGUGAUGUGUGGG
rnacentral:piRNA from 1 species